AUUUAACGCUGGCGUCAUGCCUAACACAUGCAAUUCUAGCGGAUGAAGUGCGCUUGCUUCUGUAUUCAGCGGCGGACUGGUGAGUAAUGCCUAGGAAUCUGCCUGGUAGUGGGGGAUAACGUCCGGACAUUGGCUCUAAUACCUCAUCCGUCCUGAGUUUUAAAGUGGUGGAUCUUCGGACCUCCCGCUAUCACAUGAUCCUAGGUCGUAUUAGCUAGUUGGUGGGGUAAAGGCCUACCAAGGCGACGAUCCGUAACGUGUCUGAGAUGAUGAUCAGUCACACUGGAAAUGAGACACGGUACAGACUCCUACGGGAGGCAGCAGUAGGGAAUAUUGGAAAAUGGGCGAAAGCCUGAUCCAGCCAAGCCGCGUGUGUGAAGAAGGUCUUCGGAUUGUAAAGCACGUUAAGUUGGGAGGAAGGGAAGUAAGUUAAUACCUUGCUGUUUUGACGUUACCAACAGAAUAAGCACCGGCUAACUUCGUG
rnacentral:rRNA from 1 species